rnacentral:rRNA from 1 species
GAUAAACGUUUGCGGCGUGCCUGAUGCAUGCAAGUCGAACGCCCUGAUUUUCGCAAGAUUGAUCAGGGAGUGGCGAACGGCUGAGUAACACGUAAGUAACCUACCCCUAAGUGGGGAGUAACUUGCCGAAAGGCAGGCUAAUACCGCAUGUGCUGGUAAGCGUCAGUUUAUCAGCAAAGCUUUUGUCGCUUGGGGAGGGGCGUUGCGUCUGAUUAGCUAGUUGGUAGGGUAAUGGCCUACCAAGGCGAUGAUCAGUAGCUGGUCUGAGAGGACAACCAGCCAGACGGGGACUGAGAUACGGCCCUGACUCCUACGGGUGGCAG